CUCAUUAUUUGAUUCUCCUUUCCUUUCGUCUCCUUCCCUGUACUUUCUUACUUGCUCUGCAUCACCAAAAACCAUGGCCUCUGCAGCUCCCCCUCUCCUCCUUCAAACACUCCCCACUCGCAUCCGCACCCCAUCUCUCCACGCGCCAUCCAAACUCAAAUUCAAACUUCCUCCCUCCUCUCCUCAUCUCCAUCAACCCCGGCCUUUCCCGCCAUUACUAAAACGGCACCGGACUGCAACGACAAUCACUUCUGCUUACGUGACCGGACCAGCAUCCGACCCGAUUGUGACCGAACCGGACCACAAACUCGACCCGACCGAUGACGAUUCGUCUGUAACGGAGAAGGUUCAGUCAACGGAACUGAUAAGUUGGGGUCUUUUGUGGAGUCUGUUGGCUAAGCAUAAAGUACGACUCGUCGUUUGUGCUUUCACUCUUGCUGGUUGCACCUCUUGUACUCUCUCCAUGCCUAUAUUUUCAGGGAGAUUUUUUGAGGUGUUGAUUGGUGCGAGACCGGAGCCUCUAUGGAGGUUGCUUAGUAAGAUUGGAGUGUUAUACGCUUUGGAACCGAUUUUUACAGUGAUCUUUGUUGUAAACAUGAAUACAGUAUGGGAGAAGGUUAUGGCAACACUGAGAGCUCAGAUUUUUAGAAGGGUCUUGAUUCAGAAGGUGGAGUUUUUUGAUAGAUACAAGGUUGGUGAGCUUAGUGCUCUGUUGACGUCUGAUUUGGGUUCGUUUAAAGAUAUUGUGAGCGAGAACAUUUCGAGGGAUCGUGGAUUUAGGGCAUUUUCUGAGGUCACUGGAACCAUAUGCAUACUGUUUGCUCUGGCCCCCCAACUAGCACCGAUUCUGGGGGUUUUGAUGUUUGCCGUGUCUAUUUCAGUUGCUGUAUACAAGCGAUCAACUGUACCUGUUUUCAAAGCUCAUGGAAAGGCCCAGGCAUCCAUAUCUGAUUGUGUGACGGAAACCUUUUCUGCUAUACGUACUGUGAGAUCCUUUGGUGGUGAAAAGCGCCAAAUGCUAAACUUUGGCAGCCAGGUUCUUGCUUAUCAAAGAAGUGGUAUAAAGCUCGGGGCUUUCAAAUCUGUGAAUGAAUCAUUGACACGGGUUGCUGUAUAUAUUUCGUUGCUGACUUUAUACAGUCUUGGAGGAAGCAGAGUAAAGGCUGGUUUGCUCUCUGUUGGAACUGUUGCUUCUUUCAUCGGAUACACUUUCACAUUAACUUUUGCUGUUCAAGGGCUGGUCAAUACAUUUGGAGAUCUCCGCGGAGCACUUGCUGCCAUUGAGAGGAUUAAUUCUGUUUUAUCUGGGGUAGAAAUUGAUGAAGCCCUUGCCUAUGGUUUAGAAAGACAAAUCCAGAAAAAAGAAGUACAUGAUGAGAAGAUUAGUUUGUUCUUAGUUAAUGGUUACAGCGGACAGAAUCAAAUUUUUAAUACACAUUACAUGUCAGCCCUAAAAUCAGCCAACACCGUGUGUAGCUUUGCUGGGUCUGGUGAUGUUUGUCUUGAAGAUGUGCACUUCUCUUACCCUUUACGACCUGAUGUGGAAAUCUUGAAUGGUCUUAAUUUGACUCUGAAAUGUGGAACUGUGACCGCUCUAGUGGGCUCAAGUGGUUCAGGCAAAAGUACCAUAGUACAACUAUUGGCACGCUUUUAUGAGCCAACCAGAGGUCGGAUUACAGUUUCAGGAGAGGAUGUUCGGACAUUUGAAAAGACUGAAUGGGUGGAGGUCGUCUCCAUCGUGAAUCAGGAACCUGUUCUCUUCUCGGUAUCUGUUGGAGAAAAUAUCGCAUAUGGGCUUCCAGAUGAUAAUGUAUCAAAGGACGAUAUCAUAAAGGCUGCCAAAGCUGCAAAUGCUCAUGAAUUUAUAAUAUCACUUCCACAGGGUUAUGACACUCUAGUUGGUGAGCGUGGAGGCUUACUGAGUGGAGGACAGAGGCAGAGAAUUGCUAUUGCAAGAGCUCUGCUCAAGAAUGCACCAAUAUUAAUACUUGAUGAGGCCACUAGUGCACUUGAUGCAGUUAGUGAACGUCUUGUCCAGGAUGCUCUGGACCAACUAAUGAAGGGCAGAACAACAUUGGUGAUUGCUCAUAGGUUAAGCACAGUUCAGAAUGCUAAUCAGAUUGCGCUUUGUUCUGGUGGGAGGAUUGCAGAACUAGGGACCCACUCUGAGUUGCUAGAUAAGAAGGGUCAAUAUGCUUCAUUAGUUGGCACUCAAAGACUGGCAUUUGAGUGACUGAAACUGCUAGACAUAGAUAUUACCAAUGGUUGAAUAGAAAACCCCAGACAAACAAUCAUGGAUCCCCUGAUAAUGCCCUCGUGUCCAGGCACAGAUCUGUUAUGCUAGUAAUGGAACAUACAGGAGAGCCUCUGGUUGAUAGUGUUCUAUAUUUUUCUGUGUAAAGAGAUGAGCAGCUCGUGUUACAGCAUGGAGGACUGAGUUCCUGACACCAUCAAGGAGAGGUAGAAAAGGAAAAAACAGUACUGAGUUUGGCAAGGCAUUCUGUGGGAAGACCGGGGAAGGUGUUCAUGAACAGUUGCCACUCCAACCAGUCUGCAUUUCCCUUCUCUUUCCAAUCCUUCACCUUAUCGUUCGAGUUGAUUCCUCCCUCUGAUGUUAGGACUGUCUUUACAAGCAGUGGAGGAGCUCUAUAGAUGGUCAAAUUUUAAACUUGGUUAAAAUUCCCAUGAUAAUCAUACAUUAUUGAAAAUACUUGUUAAUAAUAAAAAUCAAAUAAGGGAUCACAGUAAAUUCUUGAAAGAAA